ensembl:lncRNA
UGUGAUGUCACCGUAAUCUGAUCUGAACAAGGUUCCACUUGUCACUCAUAACUUCACUGGACUUCGUGAGAGCUGCAUGCUUUCUCGUCUCAGUCCUCUAUCAGUUCAUAACCUUUGAUCACUGACAAUACAACGUUUUUAAGUUGCAUCGUGUAUUUUAACCAGCAUUUAAAUCAAACAGGAGAAAUGGCUGAAGGACAUUCAACGAAUCUGCCGUUUUCAAACCAAGGACCAGAAGAGUCAUCUGAACAGGUCAACGCUGAAUAUAUGAGCCUGAGGGAAAUCAGCGAAGUUCUUAAGUCUAUGCGAAUGAAAAUUCACAUGAGCGGAAUAAAGGUUGCAGGAUGGGAAUCUUUGAAGGUUAAAAAUGAUAAGUUUGCCGAUCACAGGAAGGAGGAAGGCAUUGCUAGGAGAAAAUGUGAAAUCCUUCAAAAGGAGGUGAGGAGUCUCCUUAAUAAGGUCAAAAAUCAUCAACAUUUUGACUCAAUCUACAGAGACCAACAAGCAUUAAACAAAGAAACGUUGUUGAAACAUCAAACGCUACAAGUGGAGCUGAACAUGCAGCAGAGAAAGCUGGACCACUUAAAACGUGUGGAGUCUGACGCUGCAUCCAUUACAAAGGAGAACGAAGAGUAUGACCAAAAAAUUAAGCUCCUGGAGACCGCACUGCAAAAGGUAACCUAUGAAUGUGACAUUUUAUCUGAGGCCAGUAAACGAGGUGCCCAACAGCUUGAUGAGAUGAAGUCUUUGGUGAAGAACUUGGAAUCCAAAACCGCUUCGACUAACUUGGAUUACAAACGUCUGCAAUUCGAGAAUAAGGAAUUGGUUGCAGAGACACAGGAGUUAGAAAAACAGGUUUUGGCUCAGCGGGAAGAAAAACGCCAAAUAAACCUGAAACUUGUAAACCAACGCCAUCAAAAUGAGGACGCAAUGCACCGUAAGGACGCUUUGGAGAGAACAACCAAUGAUUUAAAACAGCAAAUCCAGGACCUCAACGAAGAGCUCACGUCCAGAGAAUCUUUGGCAGCGCAACUGAACGUCCAGGAGACUGUUCUGGAGACGCAGCAGCGACAGCUAAUUAAGGCCCACACGGAGGCCACCAACAAGCUACUCAGUGAAAAAGAAUGGAAGUCUGGCUAUGACGCACAGAGGGAACUAAAAGACACCUUGGAGCUGAAGAACAAUGAGUGGAAAGAGAAUAUCCUCAGUCUAAUGAACAGUCUCAAAGAUCUUGACGCCUGUAAGGCAAACUACAAAUCAAUGAAGACAGAUAUAAAAGUUGCAACCAGACUGAAUAAAACUCUCGAAAAGCAACACAAGACCCUGGAAAACAAGUUCUCAAAAGAGCAGAAGUAUGAGGAAAAAAACAACGCAAUAAAGUCCGAGAGCGAAACCCUGAUGGGUGAAAACUGCACUCUGCAGCGGCAGGUUGAGGAACUGCAGAGCAGCCUUCAGGGAACGCAUGUUUUGACUUGUAUCUACAACUCCCUGGUAUCGGUUAAAAACGCCAACAAGCUACUGAACGACGACCUUCUGAGAGAACUUCAACAGCUCCACGAAGAGGCCGCUAAAGAAGCACCUCUGAAAGAGUGCAACGAGGCAAUAAGGGCAGAGAACGAGAUCGAUAACAGACAAUUGGAUGUUCUCGAGGAGCAAGUGUCCUCCGUCGCAUGUAGAACGGGUGCACCGGAAAAGGCCUUGGUGGUUUGAACCCUCGCCGGCUGGUCCCGAACAAGACACCUAAUCACCCUUAGGCAUCCCAUUGAAGUAACAGCUAUGGUUUUCUUCCGGGUUUUCCUUAAAAAUGACCGUACAUGGGUGUCUACUGUGCUAAUGUAGCAUAAUUUGCCACAGCAAAAGCACUGUCUGAAAUAAUUACACUCCUGGCAAAAGGCGCCUAAUUAGAUUUGGACCGUAGCGUCCACACCCAACAAAAUGUCGCGCCAAGUUUUCUUGAAAACUCGACAGCCCCGAUAUGAAGAUUGAAAGAAUAUUGAACUACGAGCGUGGCGCAGCGGCAAAAAACACUAUUCGCCCGAAAAAAUUGAAGUUGUUUUAACUAGGCCAUACAUUUUGUUAUCUGCUCCACAUGUCACCAGAGCCAGAGUAACACUUCUGAUUGGAGAGACGGAUUGCAGCACUCCCGCCACGCAUCCAAUUCCUCAUGCGGUCCCCCCCCCCCCCCCCCCCCCCACCACCACCCCACCCACGUAGCGUCCGCGGCGUCCACCCCCUUUUAUUUACUUUUAUGUACAACACCUAAAUAUAAUUGAACAACAAAACACCGGUAAAACAAUGGUGAAAAACUAGUAGGGCACUCCCCGUACCCCUCCCCCUUGACCGGAGCGUCCCCCACAGUCGACCGGAGCGCCCUCCCCCCAGUUGACCAUAGCGUCCGCGUACCCCUCCCCCUUGACCGGAGCGUCCCCCCCAGUCGACCGGAGCGCCCUCCCCCCAGUUGACCAUAGCGUCCGCGUACCCCUCCCCCUUGACCGGCGCGCACCCCCCAGUCGACCGGAACGCUCCCCGCCCCGGUCGACCGUAGCGUCCGCGUCCCCCCCUGUACCCCCUCCCCCUUGACCGGAGCGCCCCCCCCCCAGUCGACCGGAGCGUCCGCGUCCCCCCUGUACCCCCUCCCCCUUGACCGGAGCGCCCCCCCCCCCAGUCGACCGGAGCGUCCGCGUCCCCCCUGUACCCCCUCCCCCUUGACCGGAGCGCCCCCCCCCCCUAGUCGACCGGAGCGCCCCCCGCCCCAGUCGACCGGAGCGUCCGCGUCCCCCCUGUACCCCCUCCCCCUUGACCGGAGCGCCCCCCCCCCCCCUAGUCGACCGGAGCGCCCCCCGCCCCAGUCGACCGGAGCGUCCGCGUCCCCCC